rfam:Candidatus Lloydbacteria bacterium RIFCSPLOWO2_12_FTLL_51_9 rifcsplowo2_12_scaffold_16815, whole genome shotgun sequence.
GCCGGAGUGGCGGAAUGGUAUACGCGCACGACUCAAAAUCGUGUGUCGCAAGACAUGUGGGUUCGAGUCCCACCUCCGGCA